rnacentral:tRNA from 1 species
AGAUUAAUAAGUUAAAUUAUAAACUGUGGGGUUCAUGUCCCCAUAACAUACUGUAAGGUAUUUAAUCGG